rnacentral:rRNA from 1 species
GAUGAACGCUGGCGGCGUGCCUAAUACAUGCAAGUCGAGCGAACAGACGAGGAGCUUGCUCCUCUGACGUUAGCGGCGGACGGGUGAGUAACACGUGGAUAACCUACCUAUAAGACUGGGAUAACUUCGGGAAACCGGAGCUAAUACCGGAUAAUAUAUUGAACCGCAUGGUUCAAUAGUGAAAGACGGUUUUGCUGUCACUUAUAGCUGGAUCCGCGCCGCAUUAGCUAGUUGGUAAGGUAACGGCUUACCAAGGCGACGAUGCGUAGCCGACCUGAGAGGGUGAUCGGCCACACUGGAACUGAGACACGGGCCAGACUCCUACGGGAGGCAGCAGUAGGGAAUCUUCCGCAAUGGGCGAAAGCCUGACGGAGCAACGCCGCGUGAGUGAUGAAGGUCUUCGGAUCGUAAAACUCUGUUAUUAGGGAAGAACAAAUGUGUAAGUAACUAUGCACGUCUUGACGGUACCUAAUCAGAAAGCCACGGCUAACUACGUG